CAAGUGCUCAGAGUCACACAGGCCAAGGCAGUGGUAGAAGGACAAGUGAAAUUCCUGCAACGAGAGCUGGAAGCAGAGGGAGCUCUCAGGAGGAAGGAACAGGAAGAGAGAGCUCAGCAGCUCAUGCAGGCAGAGCAGAAGCAUAAGGAAAGCCUCAGGCUUCAGGGAACACCUCAGCAAGUACAAGUAAACAAGCUCCUGCACGACCUGGUAGGGGACAAUAUGCUUCUGAAUUGUCCGAGCUGGGCCUGUGGGAAGGUUUAGCUCAAGCAGAACCUGAGAGUGAGAAAGGGCAGCAAUCCUCUGCCAGAGGCCUCUUGCUGCUGGGCUGGGCAGCAGAGUCAGCAUCUCAGACUUGGAGGUGUGUGAAGCCUCCCCAGGCUGGUGCUGGGACAGCAAAUGCAGCCAUGGCUCCAGUGAGGGCGUAAGAGGAGUUCCAGAGCAGGUUGGGCAGUGCCCACCCAAAGUGUGACAGCCCAGGGCAGGAUCAUCCCUGAGUCUCUCCUGCCACGGAGCAGAUGCCAUCAUGCAGCAGAUGCCAACAUGGAGCAGAUGCCAACAUGGAGCAGAUGCCAUCAGUGCUUCUGGCUGCAGGAGCGGGAACUUGGGUCCUUUCUUGCUGUGCUUCCAUGAUUGACACAGGGAUUAGGUUUGGGCUGGAAGCCAAUGGAACAGGCCCCUGGUCCUUCAGUGCUUGUGGCUGGGGCAUCAGGGAGGGGAAGGUGACACCUCCUUUUGUGAGUGCUUGGGCUCAAUGCUUGUGAAGGCUUUUCCCAACAGAAAUGAUUCCAUGAGGCUGUGAUUCUUGCAGCUGCUGAGCCUCCUCUUAAAUUCCCAGGCAGGACAUGGUUUCUGGAGUGCAGAAAGCCAGUGCUGUUGUCUUUUCAGGUUGGGGUUUGUGGGAUGGAUGAAGCUUCACAUCUUUCAGCAAGGAGCUUGCUGGGACUUCAUCUUGCAAAUUUCUCCUCCCCUCCUCAGGCAAGUGAACGUGAAAGGCACCGUGCUAAGAUGCUGGAACAAUGGCAAGAAGAGAAGGCAAAGAGAGAGCGGGAACACGAGAAGGUGCUGCUUGAGCUGAGGCAGAAAGUUGCCACCCUGCAGGCCCAACAACAAGACGAACAAACUAGAUUUGAAAAAGCCAAGCGACAGGUGCUGCAGGAAGAGCAGAAUGAGAAGAGGGCUUUAACAGAGACACUGCUCCAAACUCGGGGACAGCUCAGCCAAGUGUGCCAGCAGGUCCAGCAGCUCAGGCAGGAGGUGAAAGAGCAGCAAGAGAAGGGACAGGUAAGUCUGAGUAGGCAGGGAAUGGAGUGCAGGGCAGGGACAAGGGCACAAAAGGCAGCUCCUGGGAGUGAGGAGGCAAGGGCUGCCUCAGGCUGUGGGAGCACAGAGCCUGGUAAGCUCCAGAGCUCAGGCCAGGAAGGAGGGCUUGCAGUGCAAGCAGAGCUGGGUUGAGAAGCCACAAGAAGUGGCUGAAGGAAUGGGAUUUGGAGACAGCAAGUGCAAAAAUCUGAGCCUGAGGGCAGGUCCCAGGAAGUCGCUCUGCAUUUUGUUGCCAGACCAUCAAGGCAAAGCUGCAAGCUGAGCUGCAGGAAGCUCACAAUGAAAUGCUGGCAGUGCAGAGGAGGCACAAGGAAGAACUUCAGGGCAUCAGAGAGAGGAGAUGAAUGUCCUCCUUGAGCAGAGGGAUGCUCUACAAAAGCAGGUGAGUGAAACAGCAGUGGCACUGCAGUCAGCCAGGGAGGACUCUGUGGCCUUCUUGCUUUUCCAUGGCAGAGCAGCAGCUGAUGGGGUGAUCCCUGGGGCUGCCUCAUGCUGUGGGGGCUCCAUGGCAGCUGCUCUGAAGGACACUCAGUGCUCUGCUGAAUCUCAGCUGCUGCCCCCUGGACAGCUAGGCCAGUCCUCUGGGCUGUUGGCCAGCAACCAUCAGCAUGGACUCCUGCUGGCCUCUUCUUGCUAGCCUUGGUUUGGGAGGUGCUUUUUCAGGUGGGCCACUUAGAGAUUUAACCUUAAGUUGUCCAUCUCUAUUGGGAAUCUGCCAGUCCCAGGACAGGGAGAAAGGGAAAGUUUUCCUUUCUCAUUCCUAAGUGCCUCUACUGUGGCUGACAGAGGCAGGCUGUGGCUGUCGCCUCUGACUGCUUUGUUCUGUUUGACUGGAGGUGGAAGAGUUGACAUCUCAGCUGGCAGCCUCCCGAGAGUUCCUGGAAAGCAGAGUCCAGAGAGCCCAGCAAUAUGUGAGCGAGGCCCAGGCACAGUCAAGGCAGAAGCAAUUGGAGGCUGAACACAUCCAGAAGAGGCUGGAGGAGGCAGAACAUCAGAAGAAGGAGCUCCAAGUGAAGCUGCAGAAACUGGAGAGGGAAUGGAGUGAAUGCAAAGAAGUGGCACUGGAAAAUUUUGAAUUGCAGGCUUCCGUGAAUGUCCUAGAGAGGGAAAGAGACAGGUAAAUGAAAGCCUG
rnacentral:lncRNA from 1 species